GGGAGAGAGUGACGGAACGUAGUAAGAAGAGAGGAAGGAGGAUCGCCUCGCUGUGCCGCUCCUUGUGCCGGUUGCCAUUGCUGUCGUCAGAGCCAGGAAGAAGAGAAGCAAAACCACGAAGAGAGAGAGAUCGACGGAGACGUUCACUCGCUCAUCGUUGUCGCUGCCAUGCGUUGCCUCCGCUGCUAGUUCAGUUGCCGUCGAGCUCGCAGCAACCGUCACCAUGGAGACCGCCAAUAUCAUCUCCGAAGCUGCGUCAUCGAUUAGGUUAAGGAGGGGGAGAAUCGUGAACAACCGGCGUCGCUGAUGGAUGCUCCGCCGCCGGAAUCACGAGCUGAGCUGUGGACUGUGACGAUCGAUUUUCCAAAAGAAUCGUUGCUGCUAUGAACUAUUUCAGCCCUGCCCUGGAAAAAUGCCCAAAAAUAUUUCUAUUUCGGUCUUGCCACCAUUAUCAUGAUUAUUGAUGACAUUGCUGCUGCAGAGGGUCUCCGGUAUCACUGUUGUGGUUGCUGCCACGAAUUAGGAAUAAAGGGAAUUGCUAUGUUAAAUCCUGCGAUUACGACAUCGAGUGACACAGGUUUGAAGAUGCAACUUGAAGCUGCGAGCGAUUAGUAGGUUUUCUUUAUGAUUUUAAUUGGUCUUGUAGAGUCCCCUCGCUGAUUGUCCCUUGAGAGUUUAUUUCAUAUAGAGGGGUAGGUUUGGUAUAUUGUAUUUGAGUUUUAUUUGGUUUCUUUUGUAUAAGAAUUAUUAUCAAUAAUAUUUAUGUGAUUAUUAUUAUUUGUAAA